UCUCUAUGAAUAAACUUUUGCUACUUCCCCUAAUGAUCAUCAUACAAUGAGAAUUUCUUUCAUAAUGGCGAAUAUUGAUCUAUAUUAUUUCUUGGUAAAUCUACACGGUACACAUACAUUGUUUGUUGUACAUGUGGUUCCUUAGAGUUAUGAAGACCAUAAGAAAGCUUCAUUCCAAAUUAUUAUUUUAUCCAACCUCAAAUAUCAUUUCGCUAUACUUGAUCUUUACAUUGUAAACCGCAUUCUUGCCAAAAAACGAUCAUUCUUUGAAAACGAAUCAAUGAAUUUCUUGAAAAACUCGAUUUUCUUUUUGAAGGGUAUACAUGGUUUCUGUUGUGAUCAUGUCUGAACUUCCUUAUUAAAACUCGUUCUAAUCAAAAUCAGUUAACUUGCUCACAAAACAUAGGUCCCAUAUGAUGAAUUGAAGCCAUCAUAUUCAAAAUAAUCCCAACCAGCACUUCAAUUCUCUUGAACUAUAACAUGCUUGUUGAUCUUCAACUUCAUUAAAUCAUUUUCUUUACAUCACGAUCACCUUGUAGUGACUUUUUCACAAAUUUGAAAAUUGCGCUAAUCUCGUUUACAUUUAUGACUAAUUAUUGUCAAGGACAGGCAUUGGGUAGCCUAGCCUUAGUUAGGCAUGGACUGGCCACCUAUGCUUAAACAAGGCAGCACUAACCAAUAUCCGUCAUGAUAAUGACUAGUUAAUUAAGUCAUCAUACUUAUGUAGUAAAUCUUAAUUAUAUAUAUAAAUAUUUUAAUUU
rnacentral:lncRNA from 1 species